CCAAUACUCCUUAGUGCUACGACGCAAAAUGGUGCUAAAAUAUAUUUAUCUCCUACCCCUCCUACUGACUCUUGCUCAUGGACAGGCGAGUGUUGGGCUCUCUGCGUUUCCUCAGCCAAGAUCAUGCCAUCACCCUUCCUGGGAGAAUGAUGCACCUUUCAGAACCAUGCCCAGAAAGGCAAACUCUCCCCCGAGAUCCCAUCCCCUCCACGCACACACCCGCCAGCCUUCCCCGCCGACAGCUCAACCGAGGUGUGAAAAAUCCCCCACUGAGGGUCGGAAACCUGCCGAUGACAAGAGGGAGAAUUGGAGGUAGCACGACAAACAGCCCGAGGAAAUAAAACAAAUAACGACUUAAAUUCCUUCCAGGUUUAAAGAGAGAGGGAAAAGGGGAGUAAAUAAAGAGGGAGAAGCGGGGACGGGGCUUUCGGCAGGCUCUGCGGAUGUCCUGGGAGGAUUCACUUUGUCUGCGGAUAGAAGGGACGCUAGUAGCUUUAGUGGCGAAUGGAGGGGGGUGGUUGUUGGUCAUCCACAUGCCACCCAAGAUGUUAUUCACUGCUAACAAUUACCAUUAUCUGUCCCCACUUUUGGCUAAUCAGACAGAAUAUGUAAUGAUGAAGCCUGUUUCCUGCUGUCUUUGGGAGGAUCAGUUUUACAGUGAGAAGCAUUUUGGAUUUACCAGAGCAGGAUGCUAAUAGCAUAAAGCAAGCUUCUGACCAUCACCACUCAGCGAACUACACCGGCUCGCCGUACCGAGGGUGGAUAGAAGCAGACAGAAAUCACUAUCCCUAAAUCCUGCCUGUGUGCGCCGGCGGGAUUCGGUCACUCCAAGCACCGCCAAGGGAAUCAUAGCACAUCCCUGAGCCUCGCCUCACUGUGCCUAGAUCUACACAUCUGCCAUGGUGGAGGGCAGGCUCCGGCCCACAGCCCCGUCUCCGUACAGCAUUGGUCUUGCCUUACACACGUAAAUGGUGCCGCAGAUAUAGAGCAUUUAAUGUGUGUGCAUGGGGGAAGACAGUCCUUUGGAUGGAUGAUGCGGGAGCCCUGCUAGGAUAAGUUGAAUAGUAAGGUAAUCGAGCUGCUGAAGAAAAGCAGUAAUGAAAGGGGCAGCCCGGUAUUACGCUUUAGCACCGAAGGAGCACAGACGCUACCGGCCCGCAAGCCCCAGGCGUCCGUGCCCGUGAGGGGAUCUGCGGCGGGUAGAGCCUCUCCCCAGGGCGUGAAAAGCCGGCUCCGUCUUGUGGGCCAGGUUGAAUGUAUUCCGGGGGGGGUUAGCUCAGAUCUCUUGUUGACUGUCGGGAUUAAUCCGGCCCCGUAAACAGCCAGGGCUCUGCCUGCAGGAGGUGCUUCGGCUCUCGACGGCCGCCGCCUCCCGGGUGGCUGCCCCAAGGCCCGGCCCCGGCCAUCCCCUUUCUCUAACCCCCUCGCUGU